AUUGAACGCUGGCGGAAUGCUUUACACAUGCAAGUCGAACGGCAGCACGGGGGCAGCCCUGGUGGCGAGUGGCGAACGGGUGAGUAAUACAUCGGAACGUGCCCGGUCGUGGGGGAUAACGUAGCGAAAGUUACGCUAAUACCGCAUACGAUCUGAGGAUGAAAGCGGGGGACCUUCGGGCCUCGCGCGCUCGGAGCGGCCGAUGUCAGAUUAGGUAGUUGGUGGGGUAAAGGCCUACCAAGCCGACGAUCUGUAGCUGGUCUGAGAGGACGACCAGCCACACUGGGACUGAGACACGGCCCAGACUCCUACGGGAGGCAGCAGUGGGGAAUUUUGGACAAUGGGCGCAAGCCUGAUCCAGCCAUUCCGCGUGCAGGACGAAGGCCUUCGGGUUGUAAACUGCUUUUGUACGGAACGAAAAGGCUCUGGCUAAUACCUGGGGCUCAUGACGGUACCGGAAGAAUAAGCACCGGCUAACUACGUG
rnacentral:rRNA from 1 species